rnacentral:lncRNA from 1 species
UCAAAGUUUCACGAUGGAUUUAAAUACAAAUCGCCGAAUCCGUUCUAAUCGCAGCCGUAAAGAAUCGAUUAUAUCGACGAUAUCGUUGGUAGACUUUUCCGUCUUGAAUAUAUUACGCGUAUUUCGUACAUUCCUGCGUAUUUAAAUUUCACAUAAAUACGCGAACAAUUCGCGUUUAAUCAUUAGCUAUAAUUAGCUAUUAGUAAUUCUGUAAAAAGAAGAUCUAUGAUAUAUCAGCGAAAUUUGUAUUCAAAUAA